AUUGAACGCUGGCGGAAUGCUUUACACGUGCAAGUCGAACGGUAGAGGGGCAACCCUUGAGAGUGGCGAACGGGUGAGUAAUGUAUCGGAACAUGCCCAGUCGUGGGGGAUAACGUAGCGAAAGUUACGCUAAUACCGCAUACGAUCUAUGGAUGAAAGCGGGGGAUCGCAAGACCUCGCGCGAUUGGAGUGGCCGAUAUCAGAUUAGGUAGUUGGUGGGGUAAAGGCCUACCAAGCCGACGAUCUGUAGCUGGUCUGAGAGGACGACCAGCCACACUGGGACUGAGACACGGCCCAGACUCCUACGGGAGGCAGCAGUGGGGAAUUUUGGACAAUGGGCGAAAGCCUGAUCCAGCCAUUCCGCGUGCAGGAAGAAGGCCUUCGGGUUGUAAACUGCUUUUGUACGGAACGAAACGCGCUGUGCUAAUACCACGGCGUAAUGACGGUACCGUAAGAAUAAGCACCGGCUAACUACGUGCCAGCCGCCGCGGUAAAAC
rnacentral:rRNA from 1 species